rnacentral:lncRNA from 1 species
AGCCACUUACUUGGCUUGUAGUGUCAUCGGUAGCAACCAUCAAACAUAGGUUUGCUUCUUCAACAGAAUCACUUGAACUACAAGUGCUUGAUGCAGUAUCCUCCCAAGCAAUGUAGGCCUUCUUCUUUUUGUGAGAUUUCUUUGCUUUUCUUUUGUUGCUUGAACAAUCAGCUUUCACAUGGCCUCUUUCACCACAUCCAUAACAUUUGAAGCUUGAUGCGGAGCCUUGAUUGUUCUCCUUCUUCUUCUUCAAGAUUUGGCUUUCACUUUUUGCCAUUAAGCAUACAUUUUCUUCCUUAUUAAAAUCACUUGAGCUUGAGGAGUUUGAUGUAGAGCUUGAAUCACACGGUGUCAACUUAUCC